rnacentral:rRNA from 1 species
UACAGAGGUCUCAAGCGUUGUUCGGAUUCAUUGGGCGUAAAGGGUGCGUAGGUGGCGCGUUAAGUCAGGUGUGAAAUUUCGGAGCUUAACUCCGAAACUGCAUUUGAUACUGGCGUGCUUGAGGACUGGAGAGGAGACUGGAAUUCAUGGUGUAGCAGUGAAAUGCGUAGAGAUCAUGAGGAAGACCAGUGGCGAAGGCGGGUCUCUGGACAGUUCCUGACACUGAGGCACGAAGGUCAGGGGAGCAAACGGG